AGCGGUUAAACAAAAGAAUUUAUUUUUUAGGCUAAAAAUUUAAAAUAAAAGUAAAUAAUAUUUUUUUUUUUCAAAAAGGUGAAAUUUUUGAAAAAGAUUAUUAAAAGUUUAAAUAAAAAUUUCCUAAAAUAAACUAGGAUUAGAUACCCUAUUAUUAGAAAUAAUAUAUUGUUAGUAUAUAAAACUUACGAAAACAAAAAAUUAUGGCGGUAUCUUAAGCUUUUCAGAGGAAUUUGCUCUUUAAUGGAUAAAACACCCAAAUCUUACUAAAGUUGGUAAAGACAGCUUGUAUACCACUAUUAAAGCAAUUAUUAAUUAUAAUUGCUGUAAAUUUUAUACAAAAAAUAAGUUAAGUCAAGGUGCAGCUUAAACUUUAGGAUGAAGUGAAUUACAAUUCUCUUUAGACAAUUAUUUUUUUCUUAAAAAUAAAAAAAUUAGGAUUUGAAAGUAAAAAUUUUAAUAGAAUGAUUAUUUGAAUUAAGCUCUGAGAUAUGUACAUAUCGCCCGUCA
rnacentral:rRNA from 1 species